rnacentral:tRNA from 1 species
GCGCCCGUAGCUCAACUGGAUAGAGUGUCUGACUACGGAUCAGAAUGUUGGGGGUUCGAAUCCUCUCGGGCGCGCCA